GGAGGAUUGGCCGAGUGGCAAGGCACCGGCUUGCUAAGCCGUGGUCGGGGUCUCCCCGCGCGCGUUCGAUCCGCGCAUCCUCCG
rnacentral:tRNA from 1 species